rnacentral:rRNA from 1 species
CCUACGGUGUGCAGCAGUCGAGAAUCAUUCACAAUGGGGGAAACCCUGAUGGUGCGACGCCGCGUGGGGGAAUGAAGGUCUUCGGAUUGUAAACCCCUGUCAUGUGGGAGCAAAUUAAAAAGAUAGUACCACAUGAGGAAGAGACGGCUAACUCUGUGCCAGCAGCCGCGGUAAUACAGAGGUCUCAAGCGUUGUUCGGAAUCACUGGGCGUAAAGCGUGCGUAGGCUGUUUCGUAAGUCGUGUGUGAAAGGCGCGGGCUCAACCCGCGGACGGCACAUGAUACUGCGAGACUAGAGUAAUGGAGGGGGAACCGGAAUGCUCGGUGUAGCAGUGAAAUGCGUAGAUAUCGAGAGGAACACUCGUGGCGAAGGCGGGUUCCUGGACAUUAACUGACGCUGAGGCACGAAGGCCAGGGGAGCGAAAGGGAUUAGAGACCCCAGUAUUC